CUGAUGUAAUAUUAAAGGGCCGCGGUAAUUUGACCGUGCGAAGGUAGCAUAAUCAUUUGUCCUUUAAUUGGGGGCUGGAAUGAACGGUUGGAUGAGGGGUCAAGUGUCUCUGUAUUAUAAUUAGAAUUUUACUUUUAAGUGAAAAGGCUUAAAUUUGAUUAAGUGAAGAUAAGACCCUAUAAAACUUAUAUAAAGAGGGGUCACACCGUAUUUAAUAUAGUUUAAAAUCGGCUGGUCCAUACUAUAUUUUGUUGGGGCGACAAUGAUAGAAUAAGUAUCUGUUGUUUUUAAUAUGUUAGUGAUAAUUAAAAGGUGAGCCUUUCAUAAGGAUUAAAAGAUCAAGUUACUUUAGGGAUAACAGCGUGAUUUUCUUUGAGAGACCUAAUCGACAAGAAUAGUUGCGACCUCGAUGUUGAAUUAAAAUUUCCUAUAAAGUGCAGAAGCUUUUUUAGUAAGUCUGUUCGACUUUUAAAAUUUUACAUGAUUUGAGUUCAAACCGGUGUGAGCCAG
rnacentral:rRNA from 1 species